AAUCAACGCUGGCGGCGUGCCUCAGACAUGCAAGUCGAACGCGAAAUCUCCCUUCGGGGAGAAAGUAGAGUGGCGCACGGGUGAGUAACACGUAGGUAAUUUGCCUUCGGGUGGGGAACGAACUCAGGGAAACUUGAGCUAAUACCGCAUAAUGCAGCGGCUCGACAUCGAGACAGUUGUUAAAGCGGGGGAGUCGCAAGACCUCGCGCCUGAAGAGAAGCCUGCGGCAGAUUAGCUAGUUGGUAAGGUAAUGGCUUACCAAGGCGACGAUCUGUAACCGGCCUGAGAGGGCGGUCGGUCACACUGGGACUGAGACACGGCCCAGACUCCUACGGGAGGCAGCAGUGGGGAAUCUUGCGCAAUGGGCGAAAGCCUGACGCAGCGACGCCGCGUGAGGGAUGACGGCCU
rnacentral:rRNA from 1 species